AAAUAUCAAUUUUCCAUAAGACAAUAUCUGAACAUGAUUAUCUACAAUGCUCUAGAAAGAUGCUAAUUACAAAUUUCACUUGGAUCACCGCCUAUGGAAAUAUGUCAGUCACGAAAACUCAAAAGGCCUAAGCAAUUGACCUAUACGGCGAAUAACAAGAAAAAAUGGAAAGAACAAAGAUGUCGAAAUAACAGAGGAAGAAAGGGAAAAUGGAAGAUAUGAUGAGUGUCGUGUUGUGUAGAAGGUCAGCUCCACAGGGGCUCUCUACUCAGAUCCUUGUUGACCUAUGGAUACACGGUCUCAAUGCAGCAAAUAUACAUCCAUUUCUAUCAAGCUCCAAUGAAGAAUACUGCAUUCUCAGAUAGAAAAGGCUCAUCAACAGUCUAGGUCGACAAAGCCUAUCAAGAAAUAUCAUACAUCAAUAGCUGGAACUUGAAGAUAAUAAAAACUAAAUUGAUCACUCACAUGUGUCAAAAGAAACAUUUGUGGGUGCCACUUUGAAGUGCAAAUAAAUUGAUUCCAAAAUAGAUCAGAGUUUGAGAGCUGUCCAAGCAUUCUAUUAUGGUACUUAAAAUCAGAAGUACAAAAACAUAGGCUCCCAAAUAAAUACUUAUGAAGAUUGUAGGCAUAUACGGUAAUUUUGAUCAAGAUGUUCUAUGAGAAACGUGGAAAUGAAACUGAUUAACCAUUUAUGAAAACAGGGAGGUUAUGGAACAACCAUAAAAAAAAUUGUCACAUAGAACGAUGCAAGUUCAAACUUGAAGAAGCAACUUCUCUGUGGAACAACAGAAGAAAUAUUAGAACAAAUUUCAUCAAUGCGGACCAUCAAAGCAUCUUUACGUAAUGAUGAUGAAGGAGUUUAAGCUUUGAUAAGACAGAAUAUAACCAAUGGCAUUUUAAAGUAAUUGUAUUUCUGAUCCAUGGGUGACCUAAAGAACAUAUGUGAUACUAGUAACGACAUUAGUUUAAGCUAGAUCCAUAUAGACAGAUUGAAACUCAUUUCAAGUUUGUGUUGCAGGCAUCCUUCUAUGUGAAUCUUUAUAUAGAAAGCAUUUAACAAAAUCCUCUGCUUCUGCCAAAGGACAAUGUUAUUCCUUAGGGUGCCAGAUUCCGCAUAUGCGCAAAGAAGAUGCUGCCACAUUCUCAAAAAAAAAGAUGCUGCCACAAAGGAGGAUAUGUACGGUGACAUAUAUACUCCAGGCAUUAGCUUCUGUGAUAGCAUCUAUGAGGAAAUUCAGGAGCAACAUAAUAAAGUGCUAACAUAAUAAGUACUUCCAACCAUAUUAUUUAGGCUCUAAUAUGCAUAGAGCAUUAAAACGUACGAACAAACAUGCCAUGUCAACAACAUAGAGAACCAAAAAUCGACCAGUACUACUCAUGAACCAAGUUGUACAAGUACACUAAUAAAUCCAUGACAAAUGUAAUUAGCUAAGGAUCUAACAGAAGCUAACAAGCUUAUUGAAGUUACCUAACAGAGGCGCACUGAAAUAGAAACGCCGGCACAAAAGCAAGGCUAUCCCCUUGAUUCGAAACCGAGGAAAGCGUGCGCUCGACCUCCUGGCCUGGGCAAAGCAGAGACACAGUGUCACCCUCAUUUCCCCACCCUCUAUGUGAAUCUUCUAUCACACCGGUGGCAA
rnacentral:lncRNA from 1 species